CAAUAGCGUAUAUUAAAGUUGUUGCAGUUAAAAAGCUCGUAGUUGGAUUUCUGGUUGAAGCGACCGGUCGGGCGUUGAUUCGUCUGCACUGGAGUCGGUUUUGGCCAUCCUCUAGGAAAGUGCGUCUGGUAUUAAGUUAUCGGGCGUAUGAUCCUGGUCUUUUACUGUGAAAAAAUUAGAGUGUUUAAAGCAGGCCUUCGCCUUGAAUACAUUAGCAUGGAAUAAUAAGAUAGGACUUUGGUCUAUUUUGUUGGUUUGCAGACCGAAGUAAUGAUUAAUAGGGAUAGUUGGGGGUAUUUAUAUUCCGAUGUCAGAGGUGAAAUUCUUAGAUUUUCGGAAGACAAACUUAUGCGAAAGCAUUUACCAAGGAUGUUUUCAUUAA
rnacentral:rRNA from 1 species